AUUGAACGCUGGCGGCAGGCCUAACACAUGCAAGUCGAGCGGUAACACAGAGGAGCUUGCUCCUUGGGUGACGAGCGGCGGACGGGUGAGUAAUGCCUGGGGAUCUGCCCGCUAGAGGGGGAUAACUACGGGAAACUGUAGCCACUACCGCAUAAUGUCUACGGACCAAAGCGGGGGCUCUUCGGACCUCAUGCUAUCGGAUGAACCCAGGUGGGAUUAGCUAGUUGGUGAGGUAAUGGCUCACCAAGGCGACGAUCUCUAACUGGUGUGAGAGAAUGACCAGUCACACUGGAACUGAGACACGGUCCAGACUCCUACGGGAGGCAGCAGUGGGGAAUAUUGCACAAUGGGCGCAAGCCUGAUGCAGCCAUGCCGCGUGUGUGAAGAAGGCCUUCGGGUUGUAAAGCACUUUCAGCGGGGAGGAAGGGUCACUAGUUAAUACCUAGUGGCAUUGACGUUACUCGCAGAAGAAGCACCGGCUAACUCCGUGCCAGCCGCCGCUGUAAUAC
rnacentral:rRNA from 1 species